rnacentral:rRNA from 1 species
UACGUAGGGUGCAAGCGUUAAUCGGAAUUACUGGGCGUAAAGCGCACGUAGGUGGCGACGUAAGUCGGGUGUGAAAGCCCCGGGCUCAACCUGGGAAUUGCAUUCGAGACUGCAUUGCUGGAGUACGGAAGAGGAAGGCGGAAUUCCCGGUGUAGCGGUGAAAUGCGUAGAUAUCGGGAGGAACAUCAGUGGCGAAGGCGGCCUUCUGGUCCAGUACUGACACUCAAGUGCGAAAGCGUGGGGAGCAAACAGGG